GUUCUUAGCUCAGUUGGUUAGAGCGUGGUGCUGAUAACGCCAAGGUUGCAGGUUUGAUCCCCUUAAGGGACA
rnacentral:tRNA from 1 species